GGGCCAAAAGGGUCCGUUUCUGGGGGGGCGAAAGCGAACCUUUUUGGGGCGAAAAGCGGCGUUUUGGGGUCAGUAUUUGCUGGGGGGGAAAAGGUCGCGGCCGGUGCGCAGGAUCUGCUCCUCCAGGCGGCGGUGGCGCUGCAUAUCCCACAGCACUUUGUCCAAACGGGCCUCGCGGCGGCGGCGGGCGGCGCUGCCGGGGGUGCGGCGGCGCUCCAGGAGGGCACUGCGGGGCGCUGUGGGUUCGUCCUCAAAGUCAAACUCGGUGGGGAGCGGAGGC
rnacentral:lncRNA from 1 species